rnacentral:rRNA from 1 species
UGGGGAAUUUUGGACAAUGGGCGCAAGCCUGAUCCAGCCAUGCCGCGUGAGUGAUGAAGGCCCUAGGGUUGUAAAGCUCUUUCACCGGUGAAGAUAAUGACGGUAACCGGCGAAGAAGCCCCGGCUAACUUCGUGCCAGCAGCCGCGGUAAUACGAAGGGGGCUAGCGUUGUUCGGAUUUACUGGGCGUAAAGCGCACGUAGGCGGACUUUUAAGUCAGGGGUGAAAUCCCGGGGCUCAACCCCGGAACUGCCUUUGAUACUGGAAGUCUUGAGUAUGGUAGAGGUGAGUGGAAUUCCGAGUGUAGAGGUGAAAUUCGUAGAUAUUCGGAGGAACACCAGUGGCGAAGGCGGCUCACUGGACCAUUACUGGCGCUGAGGUGCGAAAGCGUGGGGAGCAAACAGG